rnacentral:lncRNA from 1 species
UUCAGGGUGCUCAAAAAGCCUACUGCUUCCAAGCUUGUGAUGUCAACAUAAUUUUCAGAGAGAAAGUUAGCCUCGGGAUUUCUCUCUUUCUUCUUUAUUGAUGCUUGAUAAAGAUCAAUCAAGUGUUUGAGAGCACGACAGUAACGACUUCCAAGCUUAUGAUGUCAACAUUGUUUUUAGAGAGAAAGUUAGCCUCGGGAUUUCUCUCUUUCUUCUUUAGUGAUGCUUGAUAAAGAUUAACCAAGUGCUUGAGAGCACGACAGUCACAUGAAUAAUGUCCUUUUCCACCACACCGGGAACAAGUAAUUGCUUCACGUUUAUCUUCUUUUUUUUUGUUGUUCGAUGAAUGAUUAACACCCGUAACAGGUUUCUUUCUUGGUCAUCAUGACCACGACCAGGGCUGCGACCUUUUCCACGCCUAGCAUGGUGAGCGCACAUCAUUCACUUAAGGGAAUGAUGCAGAUCCAGUUGGUCAGUUCUCAUGAUUUUUCAUCAACAAAUCAUUAUUUUGGUCAGCCACGAGAAGAUGAGAACUCAGCUCAGUAUACUUCUUGAAACCUUUUUCUUGAUAUUGUUGCUGUAAUAGCACAUUCGAGGCAUGAAAAAUGGAGAACGUCUUUUCUAUCAUAUCAUUAUCAUUGGCUGUAUCUCCACAUAGUUUCAAUUGAGAAAAAAUUCUAAACAUGACAGAAUUAUAUUUAUGAACAAACUUAUAGUCUUGAAAUCUUUGAUGCAUCCACUCAUAUAGUGCUUUCGGAAGGAUGACUAUCUUAAGUGAUCAAACCUUUCUUUUAGGCUAUUCACAAUAAGAGUGGAUCCUCAGUAGUAAGGAACUCAAUUUUCAGAACUUUGUCAAGAUGAUAACGCAAGAAAAUCAUAGCUUUAGCACGAUUUUGACUAGAUGUUGUGUUUUCAUUCUUUAUGGUGUCUCCAACACCCAUAGCAUCUAGGUGGAUUUCAACAUUCAACACCCAUGAAAUAUAGUUCUUGCCCAAACUUUGAAGGGCAACGAACUCACACUUCGUAAGAUUGUUAGCCAUAAAAAACAGAAGAAAAAUAAUAAUACCUUAGCCUUAGCCUUCAAAUUUGAGACGGUAGAGUCUCGUGAUAACGUAUUAUAAAAUAAGAAAGAAUGGAAAAGAAGAAUAAAGAAUAGAGAGUAAUCAUUA